CAAUAGCGUAUAUUAAAGUUGUUGCAGUUAAAAAGCUCGUAGUUGGAUUUCUGGUCGGAAGCUCCUGUCCUCUGAUGAGCGUACAAGUGCGUCCUACCACCCUUCUGUUAACCUUUAAGGCUUUCGCGGCUUUCUAGGGGCUCAGAUAUUUUACCUUGAGAAAAUUAGAGUGUUUCAGGCAGGCUAGCGCCGGAAUACAUUAGCAUGGAAUAAUGGAAUAGGACUUUUGCCUCUUCUGUUGGUCAUGAGGCUCGAGUAAUGAUUAAUAGGGAUAGUUGGGGGCAUUAGUACUUAACUGUCAGAGGUGAAAUUCUCGGAUUUGUUAAAGACUAACUUAUGCGAAAGCAUUUGCCAAGGAUGUUUUCAUUAA
rnacentral:rRNA from 1 species